rnacentral:rRNA from 1 species
AGGACAAACGCUGGCGGCGUACCUAAGACAUGCAAGUCGAACGAGGUUUCCGGCUUCGGUUGGGAAGCGAGUGGCGAACGGGUGAGUAACACGUAGGAACCUGUCAUUCAGUGGGGGAUACCGCUGGGAAACCGGCGCUAAUACCGCAUACGGUCCCGGAAACGGGAGCAAAGCCUUUCGAGGCGCUGAAUGAGGGGCCUGUGGCCGAUUAGCUCGUUGGUGGGGUAAAGGCCUACCAAGGCGACGAUCGGUAGCUGGUCUGAGAGGAUGGUCAGCCACACUGGGACUGAGACACGGCCCAGACUCCUACGGGAGGCAGCAGUUAGGAAAUUUUCACAAUGGGGGAAACCCUGAUGGAGUAACGCCGCGUGGAGGAUGACGGCCUUCGGGUUGUAACUCCUUUCUGUGGAAGAGUAGAAGACGGUACCACAGGAAGAAGCAUCGGCUAACUCCGUGCCAGCAGCCGC